GUUGCACGAGGUGUUGCAUGGCUGUCGUCAGCUCGUGUCGUGAGAUGUUCGGUUAAGUCCGCUAACGAGCGCAACCCUCGCUGUAUGUUACAUGUGUCAUACAGGACCGCCGGUAUCAAGCCGGAGGAAGGUGGGGAUGACGUCAAGUCCGCAUGGCCUUUAUGUCCGGGGCUACACACACGCUACAAUGGUCGGUACAAUGGGUUGCUAAGCCGCGAGGUGGAGCCAAUCCCCCAAAGCCGGCCUCAGUUCAGAUUGCAGGCUGCAACUCGCCUGCAUGAAGCUGGAGUUGCUAGUAAACGCGCGUCAGCUAUAGUGCGUUGAAUACGUUCUCGGGCCUU
rnacentral:rRNA from 1 species